rnacentral:rRNA from 1 species
AGAGUUUGAUCCUGGCUCAGGAUGAACGCUAGCGGCAGGCUUAACACAUGCAAGUCGAGGGGUAACAGGGUGCUUGCACCGCUGACGACCGGCGCACGGGGGCGUAACGCGUAUACAAUCUACCUUUUACAGAGAGAUACCCCAGAGAAAUUUGGAAUAAUACCUCAUAAUAUUAUUGCUCGGCAUCGAGUGACAAUUAAAGUUUCGGCGGUAAAAGAUGAGUAUGCGUCCUAUUAGCUAGUUGGUAAGGUAACGGCUUACCAAGGCGACGAUAGGUAGGGGUCCUGAGAGGGAGAUCCCCCACACUGGUACUGAGACACGGACCAGACUCCUACGGGAGGCAGCAGUGAGGAAUAUUGGUCAAUGGGCGAAAGCCUGAACCAGCCAUGCCGCGUGCAGGAAGACUGCCCUAUGGGUUGUAAACUGCUUUUAUACAGGAAGAAACACUCGGACGUGUCCGAGCUUGACGGUAGUGUAUGAAUAAGCAUCGGCUAACUCCGUGCCAGCAGCCGCGGUAAUACGGAGGAUGCAAGCGUUAUCCGGAUUCAUUGGGUUUAAAGGGUGCGUAGGCGGCUUUUUAAGUCAGUGGUGAAAUCCUGCCGCUUAACGGUAGAAUUGCCAUUGAUACUGAAAAGCUUGAGUACAUUUGAGGUAAGCGGAAUGUGUAGUGUAGCGGUGAAAUGCUUAGAUAUUACACAGAACACCAAUUGCGAAGGCAGCUUACUAAACUGAUACUGACGCUGAUGCACGAAAGCGUGGGGAGCGAACAGGAUUAGAUACCCUGGUAGUCCACGCCGUAAACGAUGCUCACUCGCUGUUUGCGAUACACAGCAAGCGGCCAAGCGAAAGCAUUAAGUGAGCCACCUGGGGAGUACGAUCGCAAGGUUGAAACUCAAAGGAAUUGACGGGGGCCCGCACAAGCGGAGGAACAUGUGGUUUAAUUCGAUGAUACGCGAGGAACCUUACCUGGGCUUAAAUGUAGAGCGACAGAUUGUGAAAGCAGUCCUUCUUCGGACGAUCUACAAGGUGCUGCAUGGUUGUCGUCAGCUCGUGCCGUGAGGUGUCGGGUUAAGUCCCAUAACGAGCGCAACCCUUAUCGUUAGUUGCCAGCGGAUCAUGCCGGGGACUCUAGCGAGACUGCCACCGUAAGGUGUGAGGAAGGUGGGGAUGACGUCAAAUCAGCACGGCCCUUAUGUCCAGGGCUACACACGUGUUACAAUGGCCGAUACAAAGGGCAGCUACCAGGUGACUGGAUGCUAAUCUCCAAAGUCGGUCUCAGUUCGGAUCGAAGUCUGCAACCCGACUUCGUGAAGCUGGAUUCGCUAGUAAUCGCAUAUCAGCCAUGAUGCGGUGAAUACGUUCCCGGGCCUUGUACACACCGCCCGUCAAACAAUGGAAGCUGGGGGUACCUGAAGUCUGUAACCGCAAGGAGCGGCCUAGGGUAAAACUAGUAACUGGUGUUAAGUCGUAACAAGGUAACC